AGUGAACGCUGGCGGUAGGCCUAACACAUGCAAGUCGAACGGCAGCACAGUAAGAGCUUGCUCUUACGGGUGGCGAGUGGCGGACGGGUGAGGAAUACAUCGGAAUCUACUUUUUCGUGGGUGAUAACGUAGGGAAACUUACGCUAAUACCGCAUACGACCUACGGGUGAAAUCAGUGGUGCUUCGUACCUUGCGCGUUUGUAUUAGCCGAUGUCGGAUUAGCUAGUUGGCGGGGUAAAGGCCCACCAAGGCGACGAUCCGUAGCUGGUCUGAGAGGAUGAUCAGCCACACUGGAACUGAGACACGGUCCAGACUCCUACGGGAGGCAGCAGUGGGGAAUAUUGGACAAUGGGCGAAAGCCUGAUCCAGCCAUACCGCGUGGGUGAAGAAGGCCUUCGGGUUGUAAAGCCCUUUUGUUGGGAAAGAAAAGCAGCAGGUUAAUACCCCGCUGUCCUGACGGUACCCAAAGAAUAAGCACCGGCUAACUUCGUG
rnacentral:rRNA from 1 species